rnacentral:tRNA from 1 species
GCUGGCGUAGCUCAGUUGGUAGAGCAGCGCAUUCGUAAUGCGCAGGCCGGGGGUUCGAAACCUCUCGCCAGCU